rnacentral:lncRNA from 1 species
CUGUAUUUUAUUUAUUUAUGUUAGUAUCUGUCUCCCCCUCUAGACUGUAAGCUCGGGGUGGACAAAGAACGCAUGUGGUGUUAUAUUGUACUCUCCCAAGCGCUUAGUACAGCGCUCUGCACACUGUAAGCGCUCAAUAAAUACGAUUGACUGAACGGGUAGAGGUCAAAGGGCCGCCACCAGGGAGCUCUCCAGGCCCACUCUGGGCGGUCCAAAGGGGAUUUUUCCCACGUCUCCAGUGGAGACAGAAAUUCAUCCAUUCCGGCCUCAAAGGGUUCUGGGCCUCUUCCUCCUUCCUUGGCUUUGCCUUCUCUCGCUGCCAGAGCAAGGGAAACUCCGCUUCCUCUGACUGCCAGCGACGGGUGAUGACGGCAGAUACCAGACAAACAUCCAGUCGCCCCAACCCGGCACCGCAUACGCCCGGUCCUCCAGCUCAGCAGUGAAGGCUCUGAGAGACGCCACGGAGGGGAAAGCUCCACCAUGAAGAGCAGGCUCAGAGGUUCUGCGGAAAGCCUUCUCGCACUGACACGGCUUGCUGAGGAAAAUGGGGCCAGGAACGUGCAUCUGUCCUAGACGGCAUUUGACGUGGGAGGCCGUUCAAUAAAAUUCCUCAUUACGCAACUCGCUUUGAGCGAAAAGACAAUGCAGCCUCCUCUGCGUUCGGGCUGUCUUGUCUGUGACGCUCAGCUCUUUGUCGG